rnacentral:rRNA from 1 species
UUCCGGUUGAUCCUGCCGGACCUGACUGCUAUCGGAUUGAUCCUAAGCCAUGUGAGUCUUUGUAGCAAUACAAGGCAGACGGCUCAGUAACACGUAGUCAAUCUACCCUAUGGACGAGGAUAACCUCGGGAAACUGAGAAUAAUACUCGAUAGAUCAUAAUGCCUGGAAUGGUUUAUGGUUCAAAUGAUUCGUUCGCCAUAGGAUGGGACUGCGGCCUAUCAGUUUGUUGGUGAGGUAAUGGCCCACCAAGACUAUUACAGGUACGGGCUCUGAGAGGAGUAGCCCGGAGAUGGGUACUGAGACACGGACCCAGGUCCUAUGGGGCGCAGCAGGCGAGAAAACUUUGCAAUGUGCGAAAGCACGACAAGGUUAAUCCGAGUGAUUCCUGCUAAAGGAAUCUUUUGUUAGUCGUAAAACCACUAUUGAAUAAGGGGUGGGCAAGUUCUGGUGUCAGCCGCCGCGGUAAAACCAGCACCUCAAGUGGUCAGGAUGAUUAUUGGGCCUAAAGCAUCCGUAGCCUGGUGCAUAAGUUUUCGGUUAAAUCCAUAUGCUUAACAUAUGGGCCGCCGGGAAUACUGUGCACCUAGGGAGUGGGAGAGGUAGACGGUACUCGGUAGGAAGGGGUAAAAUCCUUUGAUCUAUCGAUGACCACCUGUGGCGAAGGCGGUCUACCAGAACACGUUCGACGGUGAGGGAUGAAAGCUGGGGGAGCAAACC